CAGCCGCCGCGGUAAUUCGGAGGGCGCGAGCGUUGUCCGGAUUCACUGGGCGUAAAGCGGGUGUAGGCGGUCGGGUAAGUCGGACGUGAAAGCCCGGGGCUCAACCCCGGAAGGGCGUCCGAAACUGCUCGACUUGAGGGCGGGAGAGGGAGGUGGAAUUCCCGGUGUAGCGGUGAAAUGCGUAGAUAUCGGCAGGAACGCCGGUGGGGAAGCCGGUCUCCUGGGCCGCGCCCGACGCUGAGGCCCGAAAGCUAGGGGAGCAAACCGGAUUAGAUACCCGGGUAGUCCUAGCCGUAAACGAUGCCCACUAGGUGUGGGGGAGUAUUUCCUCCGUGCUGUAGCUAACGCGUUAAGUGGGCCGCCUGGGGAGUACGCCCGCAAGGGUGAAACUUAAAGGAAUUGGCGGG
rnacentral:rRNA from 1 species